AAAGCAUAAUGAAACCACAGUGGGAAAGGAUGUGUUCCUUUUCCACAAGUAUUUGGAAACAAAUAAGCAUCUUUUGAAAGAGUAAUAUCUCCCCUGGCAAAAGGAAUACUUUUUUCAUCCUGAGCUGCAAAAGGAAUAAGGCUGAAUGCUAACAUUUUGAUUUCUUGAGAAGAGGGUCAGAGCCUGAUGGGGUUGAAGACUCCUGGCUUGAAAGCACUUUUGAAGAGCAGGUCUUCUUCACAAGAGUCCUACAAAUGCUUGCCACUACCUCUCACACGUUUCCUACUCCAGGUGCCAUCUGUAGCUAUCUCACUAUGUCAACAAUGCUGCUUUCUCACCAGCCUAUCCUUGCAUGAAGAUGGGAAGCCAUCAUCUUCCAUGCAACCUGCCAGCAAGUCCCAUUCUCAAAGGCUUGGGUUGAUUGGUGUCAGCAGGGUAA